AUUUAAAUAGUUUAGUUAAAAUGUUGACUUGUGGGGUCAGAGACAUACUUUUGUAUUUUAAAUA
rnacentral:tRNA from 1 species